GGAUUGGAANUGGGCGCAGCCUGAUCCAGCAAUGCCGCGUGAGUGAUGAAGGCCUUCGGGUUGUAAAGCUCUUUCGCACGCGAGGAUGAUGACGCUAGCGUGAGAAGAAGCCCCGGCUAACUUCGUGCCAGCAGCCGCGGUAAUACGAAGGGGGCGAGCGUUGUUCGGAUUUACUGGGCGUAAAGGGCGCGUAGGCGGUACAGGAAGUCGAGUGUGAAAGCCCCGGGCUCAACCUGGGAAUGGCGCUCGAGACUCUUGUGCUUGAGUUCGGGAGAGGAGCGUGGAAUUCCCAGUGUAGAGGUGAAAUUCGUAGAUAUUGGGAAGAACACCGGUGGCGAAGGCGGCGCUCUGGACCGAGACUGACGCUGAGGCGCGAAAGCGUGGGGAGCAAACAGGAUUAGAUACCCUGGUAGUCCACGCGGUAAACGAUGUGUGCUAGACGUUGGGGAGCCUAGCUCUUCGGUGUCGCCGCAAACGCUUUAAGCACACCGCCUGGGGAGUACGGCCGCAAGGUUAAAACUCAAAAAAAUUGACGGA
rnacentral:rRNA from 1 species